rnacentral:rRNA from 1 species
GACGAACGCUGGCGGCGUGCUUAACACAUGCAAGUCGAACGGAGUGGCGAACGGGUGAGUAACGCGUAAUCAACCUGCCCUUCCGAGGGGGACAACAGUUGGAAACGACUGCUAAUACCGCAUACUGAAGGAGGGGAUUGCGUCCGAUUAGCUAGUUGGAGGGGUAACGGCCAACCAAGGCGAUGAUCAGUAGCCGGUUUGAGAGGAUGAACGGCCACAAUGGGACUGAGACACGGGCCAGACUCCUACGGGAGGCAGCAGGGGGGAAUCUUCCGCAAUGGACGAAAGUCUUACGGAGCAACUCCGCGUGAGUGAUGAUGGCCUUCGGGGUGUAAAGCUCUUUUAAUCGGGACGCGGUACCUGAAUAGAAAGCAACGGCUAACUACGUGCCAGCAGCCGCGGUAAUUC